GCCCACGCCAGGUUGCGAAAUCCCACUCGUUUGUUACAGCCUUUAGCGACACUGCCAACACUUCCACUCUCAUUUCUCAAAUGCUUUGCUUUGGGACUUGUAGUGGAUUAUGCUGGCAACAGCAAAUUUCUCUCACCCAACCCAUGGAUUUUCUACAUUUUUAAACACUAAUUCCUAAUUUUAUCCCAAUUUACAGAUCGUAGUGUUGUUUAUAGAAAUGAAGAGGAAGCGUGGUCGCCCCAAAAAUUCUGUUGCGAAAAAGCCCAAUGUGGUGAAUGCUGAUGAGCAAGCUGUCCUGAACUUCGUUGACCGAAAUGUCAAUGAAAAUUCUGUUCCAGAUCAACCGAAUGAUCAUGGGUUUAGUUUGUAUGAUUCUGAGAGGAAGGCUAGUUUGUCAUCGUCGUCGUCUUCAUCUUCGUCUUCUUCUUCAGGCGAAAGUGAUGAGGGAGGAGGUGGUACUGGUUUUGAUAAACCAGCGAUUGCUAGGAGUGUGAAAAGACCAGCUAACAAACGUGGUCUGCCUAAGAAAGGGGAAGUUUCAAAGAAUGGCACAAGUGCUACUGUUACGUCGUCUAAGGGAUUGGGUUCUUCUAGCAGGAAAGAAGCACCAUCGAAGAACUUAGGUCAUGAUUCUCUGAUUAACGAAAAUGAAUUGAAAGCUGCCUUAGAGGUGAUUAAGAAGGUAAUGCAAAUGGAUGAGGCCGUGCAUUUCAGUGCUCCGGUGGAUUCUGUUUCUCAGGGAAUUCCUGAUUAUUUUACUGUGGUAGAUAUGCCAGUGGAUUUGGGAACAAUAUGUAGCAAUCUUGAAAGUGGUAUCAAGUACCUGAACUCAGAAGAUGUGUACAAGGAUGUGGAAUACAUCUGGAAGAAUUGUCUCAAGCAUAACAAAAAGGGUGACUACAUUGUGUACCUUAUGAAAAGGGUGGAGAAAAAGUUUAUGAAAUACUGGACCGCUGCCGGACUACGUAGUGAGAUUCUGAAGAAGCCUGAUGGACAUUCUCACAUACCAGAGCCACAUGUGACAGUCCUCCCUAUGGAGCAGGAAAAACAACCACCCAAGUGUUCAGUUGCCCCUAUGCUGAGUGGCCCAUCCCAUUCCCAGCUGCAACAGCACCAACCAGGCUCGCGUUAUUUGUGGCAGUCACAGCAGAUCGCUGGCCAGCCACAGCCAUUUCACUCACUUGUUGGUGCAGAUAUUGAUAAUGCAGGCCCUUUGGCUGAAAUCCCAUUGGCCUCGUGCUAUUCUGUGCCUCAACGGCCCUCUGGGAGCAACAACCAACUACAAUGGUCACAGCACUCCACACAUGAGAUACAGAGGAGGGUUCGAGGCCCCACUCAAUGCCGCUUCAUGUUGGACAUGACUGAUGGUGAACGGCUAUUUGUCCCUAUCAACAUGCUGGGACAGCCUGUUGGUCCUGAAGCAUCAAAGCUCGCUUCCUUCUUGGGAACUGUAGCACGAAAUGGUAAGAUGGCGCCACUUAAUUUUCUGGACUGGUCAGCAAUGCCAGAUGCAAUCAAAGAGGAUAUGUGGCAGUUUGUGCAGACAAAGUUUGACAUUGACCCCAUGUGCAAAACAUGGGUUAUGAAGUCCCUUGCAUCAAAAUGGAGGAACUGGAAAGCAAAAUUGAAGGCUGACCAUUAUAACCCUCAUACAACUGAUGAGGAACGUUUGAAGGACUGUAACAAAAGAGUCCUUCCUGAUCAAUGGGCAGCCCUUGUAUCCCAUUGGAACUCUGAAAAGGUGCAGCUGCGUUGUGCUAAAAAUAAGGCCAACCGUGCAAAGCAGAAAAGUGCCCAUGCUGCGGGCUCAAAGAGCUUUGCGAGGAUACGUGAGGAAGAGCGUGCAAAGAGGCCUGAUGGAAAGGAACUGACUAGGAGAGAGUUGUACAUCCUAACCCGUACACGUAAGGAUGGACAACCUGUGGAUAAAACAGCAGCAGAAGUAAUAAAAAAACUCCACGAACAAGCAACUCAAAAACAGCAGACUUCACAUGGAAGAGAUGAUCGUGAUGACACCUACUGCCAAGUUAUGGGAGAAGAAAAACAUGGCCAUGGGAGCAUGUUUGGGUUGAGUCCAAGUCCUGCUGGCCUUUUGUGCCGACCCAGCACUUCUAGUCACAAGAGGAUGGCUUUGGAGGCCAAAAGAUCAUCUAAUGAGGAGUCAAGCAAAAUGUCAUAUAAAAUGGAGGCCAUGGAGCGAAAGUAUGCAUCCCUGGAAGCCCAGAUAGCUAGGAUGACUUCGAAUAUGCAGAAUCUCAUUGAAAAGAUGGGUGCCUUGGUUUCAAAACAGGUUCCUAAAAAUGCUCCUAAGGAUUCACUGCAGGCACAAGCACACUCCUCAUCAUCAAGUCAUGCAAUUCAGCCUAAUGAGGUUGACUAUAGACUAUAGAGAGGCAUUAUGCUCACAGGACUUGCCAACAUAUUUUUAGGAUUCUCUCUCUCUAAGAUUUAAAUAUUUGUUUGUGUUGGUGCAUGAAAUUAUUGCUAGGCUUGGCGGAUUGAACCUGCCGUUUUGGAUUUGGACAGGGGAUGCUUUUGUUAUUCUGUUGGCAUUCAAUGAUGCUUUUAGCAGCUUCGUGAAUCUUAGUGCUUCCUGAAGUGUUGCCAGUAAAUGCUGGUUAUUACUGCAUGUUGUUUCUCAUAAAAUUUAUUGAAUUUUAAUAUUUUUUUAUAAAAUUUAUUAAAUUUUAAUUUUAAAUUAAUUUAUUGACUUUUCAAUUAUUUUAUAAAUAAAA